rnacentral:tRNA from 1 species
GUGUCCGUGGCGAAAGGAUUAACGCGUCGGGUUGUGAUUCCGGCUACUGCGGGUUUGAGUCCCGUCGGACACCCCA